UAUUAAUGCCUGAAACUGAAAAUGUAUCUAGCGUAGUAAUUAAGUUUUAUCUGUAACGUGUUCAUUAUAUUCAUUCAUUAACUGAAUUUUUAAUUACAAGUUAGACUGCGGGCGUCUUUGAAUAAUAUGAACACCUGGCAAUUAAGCAUCAUUGCAGAGGCGAAGGAAGCUGGGAAAACUUGGAGUGAAAUUAAGAAAUCUGAAAGAAGACCGAUAAGGCUGGUUUUCUACGCUGAUGGCCUAUUAUGGUUAGAAAUUCCACCCCCCGCUCCCAUGGAGGUCUCCAGGUAGAUGAAGAUGUUCCAUAAAAAAGCUUAUUUUUUAUUUUCUCCCGGACGACAUGCAACGCUCAUCACAACCCAUAUGAAAUACGUAGAAUGACACUGGGGUCUGGAACAGUCAUUGGUAAUGUUUGAUGAUUUUUUCGUGAUCAGGCAAGAUAGAGACACAGAGCGUCUUAGAAAUACAGACAGCGUUCUAAAGGUAAUUAUAAAUAGGCUGCGAGACAAAGGAAUCACUCAUCCACGUAAUCCUGGAAUGCGUGGCUGUGGCUUCCCAACGAUUGGAAAUCCUCGAGCCUAAUUCGAAUAACCUGUAUUAUGGAUGUCCGAAAUGUUCUACUAUUAUUUAGAUUAAUAAAAACGGUGUACCAUCUCUAUUCAAGAGAAAAAAAUUCCCCAUACAAAAAAAUCACAAGGUACCGUUAUAAUCUGUUGAAUUGGAUUAACGCAUUCCUAAUUCUCAUUACACAUGAGAAUCAGGCCUUAUAGAACGGUUAAAAAUAAUCCGCCGCACUGCAGCAAAAACGCCACUAUACUUACAUUCAAGAUUUACGAAGACUACAAUUAGAUUCCAGGAGGGUAAUGCUUCGAUAUAAAAGAACC